rnacentral:rRNA from 1 species
CAGAGGGUGCGAGCGUUGUCCGGAAUCACUGGGCGUAAAGGGCCCGUAGGUGGCGGCCCAAGUCCAUGGUGAAAGCCCGAUGCUCAACAUCGAGUCGGCCACGGGAUACUGGGUUGCUCGAGCACUGUAGAGGCAGAUGGAAUUCCGGGUGUAGCGGUGGAAUGCGUAGAGGUCCGGAAGAACACCGGUGGCGAAGGCGGUCUGCUGGGCAGUAGCUGACACUGAGGCGCGACAGCGUGGGGGAGCAAACAGGAUUAGAUACCCUGGUAGUCCACGCCGUAAACGAUGGGCACUAGAUGCUUGGGGGAGCGACCCCCUGAGUGUCGUCGCUAACGCAGUAAGUGCCCCGCCUGGGGAGUACGGCCGCAAGGCUG